GACGAACGCUGGCGGCGCGCCUAACACAUGCAAGUCGAACGGAGCUUUGAGAGCUUGCUUUUAAAGCUUAGUGGCGAACGGGUGAGUAACGCGUGAGUAACCUGCCCUGGAGUGGGGGACAACAGUUGGAAACGACUGCUAAUACCGCAUAAGCCCACGGCCCGGCAUCGGGCUGAGGGAAAAGGAGUGAUCCGCUUUGAGAUGGCCUCGCGUCCGAUUAGCUAGUUGGUGAGGUAACGGCCCACCAAGGCAACGAUCGGUAGCCGGACUGAGAGGUUGAACGGCCACAUUGGGACUGAGACACGGCCCAG
rnacentral:rRNA from 1 species